rnacentral:rRNA from 2 species
ACGAACGCUGGCGGCGUGCUUAACACAUGCAAGUCGAACGGUGAUGUCAGAGCUUGCUCUGGCGGAUCAGUGGCGAACGGGUGAGUAACACGUGAGUAACCUGCCCCCGACUCUGGGAUAACUGCUAGAAAUGGUAGCUAAUACCGGAUAUGACGACUGGCCGCAUGGUCUGGUCGUGGAAAGAAUUUCGGUUGGGGAUGGACUCGCGGCCUAUCAGGUUGUUGGUGAGGUAAUGGCUCACCAAGCCUACGACGGGUAGCCG